UUUAGACGAGAGUUUGAUCCUGGCUCAGGAUGAACGCUGGCGGCGUGCCUAACACAUGCAAGUCGAGCGAAGCGCUUGAAUCUGAUUCUUCGGAUGAGGAUUCUUGUGACUGAGCGGCGGACGGGUGAGUAACGCGUGGGCAACCUGCCUUACACAGGGGGAUAACAGUUAGAAAUGACUGCUAAUACCGCAUAAGACCACAGUACUGCAUGGUACAGUGGUAAAAACUCCGGUGGUGUAAGAUGGGCCCGCGUCUGAUUAGGUAGUUGGCGGGGUAACGGCCCACCAAGCCGACGAUCAGUAGCCGACCUGAGAGGG
rnacentral:rRNA from 1 species